GCCUCACACAUGCAAGUCGAGCGGAUGAGAAGAGCUUGCUCUUCGAUUCAGCGGCGGACGGGUGAGUAAUGCCUAGGAAUCUGCCUGGUAGUGGGGGACAACGUUUCGAAAGGAACGCUAAUACCGCAUACGUCCUACGGGAGAAAGCAGGGGACCUUCGGGCCUUGCGCUAUCAGAUGAGCCUAGGUCGGAUUAGCUAGUUGGUGGGGUAAUGGCUCACCAAGGCGACGAUCCGUAACUGGUCUGAGAGGAUGAUCAGUCACACUGGAACUGAGACACGGUCCAGACUCCUACGGGAGGCAGCAGUGGGGAAUAUUGGACAAUGGGCGAAAGCCUGAUCCAGCCAUGCCGCGUGUGUGAAGAAGGUCUUCGGAUUGUAAAGCACUUUAAGUUGGGAGGAAGGGCAGUAAGCGAAUACCUUGCUGUUUUGACGUUACCGACAGAAUAAGCACCGGCUAACUCUGUGCCAGCAGCCGCGGUAAUACAGAGGGUGCAAGCGUU
rnacentral:rRNA from 1 species